rnacentral:lncRNA from 1 species
AAGGGCAGGUUUCGCCUCUUGCCGUGGUGCUGCCUUUCGCACACACGAUCUCUCGGGUUCCCUAGCUUCCAUAAACACCGCAAGGGAAAUAUAAACGGAUACGCCAAGGUUCGCGAUGAUAUUCUAGCAUGGAUAAGCCAGCAAGAAACCUACGGACGGACGGUAUGAGGAUUAUGAUAACUUUGACAGAAGGGGUUCGUUGUACUCAAUAUAUUUUGGGAUACGUAUUGAGCAUGAGUGAGCAAUCGACAACGUUAAGAAGAAGGAUAUCUUUUUACGUGCGAUCGGUUGUUGAAAAGAGCAAAUAUCGAAAGAGGAUUGUUUUCGACAUCAGGAAGGAUUUAAAGGAAAACUUGAACGGACUUCUCUAUGUAGACUUACAUCCGGCAUACCGAAUAGAUUACAGAGGAAUAGAGUGCGUCCGGUCAGGAUUCUUAAAAAUAAAAUUUUACUGAUUCAG